rnacentral:rRNA from 1 species
GACGAACGCUGGCGGCGUGCUUAACACAUGCAAGUCGAACGGAAAGGCCUGCUUUCCCUUGUGGAUUGCGGGUACUCGAGUGGCGAACGGGUGAGUAACACGUGAGUGAUCUGCCCCCAACUUGGGUAUAAGCCUGGGAAACUGGGUCUAAUUCCCGAUAGGACUGCAGGGUGGUGCCUGUGGUGGAAAACGAUUUUCUAGUGGUUGGGGAUGAGCUCGCGGCCUAUCAGCUUGUUGGUGGGGUAAUGGCCUACCAAGGCGGCGACGGGUAGCCGGCCUGAGAGGGUGGACGGCCACAUUGGGACUGAGAUACGGCCCAGACUCCUACGGGAGGCAGCAGUGGGGAAUAUUGCACAAUGGGCGGAAGCCUGAUGCAGCGACGCCGCGUGGGGGAUGACGGCCUUCGGGUUGUAAACUCCUCUCGACCGCGAGGAAGCCACCUGGUUGGAAGGGUGGUGACGGUAGUGGUAGAAGAAGCACCGGCUAACUACGUG